rnacentral:tRNA from 1 species
GCCUGGCUAGCUCAGUCGGUAGAGCAUGGGGCUCUUAAUCCCAGGGUCCUGGGUUUGACCUCCACAUUGGGUA